ensembl:lncRNA LINC02669 long intergenic non-protein coding RNA 2669
CAUUUUUCCCAUCACCAGUUGAUGAAUAUUUGGAUUGUUUCCCCUUUUUGGCUAUCAUGAGGAAAACUGCUAUAAGCAUUUGCAUGAGGGAGGUAUCCAGAGAGGCUAAUGGAAGAGACAGGCUUUGGGAUUUAUUUGCAGAGAGGUUAGGCAUUCAGACAUGUGGAAAGAGAGAUGAAAGGAAAGUGCACCUGAGGCUGAACAAGUGACUAAAGGAGAAGCCACUGUGCCUGUCGAAAGAACAAUGAAUAAUCCAGAAUUGAUAGAUAAGUAAGACUGGGGAAGGAAGAGAAAGGAAGACACAGCCUCUGAGAGCCGGAUGAAGACACAAAUGGGAUGGAGGCUGCGGCUGUUAAACCAUCAGGACUCAGCGGCUGUUAAACCAUCAGGACUCAGCAAUUAUUUCAUGUGGAGACAAGUGAUGGCAAAGCCAAAAGGCCACGGGUGUUGAGCUGUUGACGAGAAACUGAAAGUGCCAUUGUGUUUAUACAGGAAGCUGCCAUUAGUAGGGAUUUGAAAAAGCAAGAGGAGAGGAUGAGUUUAGUGGGGAGUUCUUACACUUCAGGUGCUAGUGGAUACCACCAAGUCAAUAUUGAGUAGCAGGAAACCAGGGCCUGAUGUUCCGUCAGGCCAUCAGGGCGGAGACAUUGUGGAGAGGAAGUUUUGAGGCUGUGAGAUUAGGAGAGAAGCAUGGAGUGUAGAGCAGGAACUAGGCCUCUCUUUACCCAAAAUCCAAAACCCCACUUAUGCCAGACACACUCAAUACUUUCUGCUGGGAUCCUCAAUUCUCAUAAAGUUUUCAUAAUAAGGCCGGGCGGGGUGGCUUAUGCCUGUAUUCCCAGCACUUUGGGAGGCCGAGGCGGGCGGAUCACCUGAGGUCAGGAGUUCAAGACGAGUCUGGCCAACAUGGUAAAAACCUGUCUCUACUGAAAAUACAAAAAUCAGCCGGGCUUGGUGGUAGGCGCCUACAGCUAGUCGGGACGCUGAGGCAUGGGAAUCGCUUGAACCCAGGAGGCAGAGGUUGCAGUGAGCCAAGAUCAUGCCACUGCACACCAGCCUGGGGGAUACAGCAAGACUCUGUCACAAUAAAAAAAACAAAAAGUUUUCAUAAAUUGGGAUGUUUCCUCUAUUCCUUCCCCUGUCUCAUUCUUGAGGGAUUGAAGAUAGUGUUUGAAAUCUCACUGGCAACCCUUCCUGCUCCCUUUCCCAGCAGUUCCAUGACCUUAUCCACUCUAACAAGCCCCGUUUCCUCCCUGCUUCUGCCACUCGCUGAACACAGUACCUUGGCAUUGCUGUCCUACAUACUCCAUUCUAGCCGUGACCGCUCUUCCGGAACACAAUCUCCUACUAGCUGCUAGGUCUGAGUGACUAACAUAAAAUUCUCCCUGGUCUGUCAGUAUUUGAAAUACAGCCGCUUGUCUUGAAAUGUUUAUUGUCACUUGUUCUUGGUAUAAGAUGAGCAUUUAAAAUACACACACACACACACACACACACGCACGCACAUAUACAGGUAUAUCUGAGGGUUUACUAUGUGCCAAGAACCAUGCUGGAAUCCUUUCAUAAAUAUGGCCUCCAUCAUUCCUGAGAACAAUCCUAUUAAAAUGUGAUGUGAAUGCAUUUUCUCAUUCAUUAAAAGUGUGUGUGUGUGUGUGUGUGUGAGAGAGAGAGAGAGAGAGAGAGAGAGAGAAUAUGACAUCCAUCUGGUAACAGAGACCUGAUCUCAGUUUCCCCAUCUGGGUACUGCUUAUAGAAAUUGAUUUUGGACUUCAAGGUAGAAUAUGAUGCAAGCUAACCCUAGGGGAACCCUGACAAAUUAAAGGGGAAAAUGCCUGUAGGGAGAUGCCAUGCUGAGUCCCCACAGAGCCCAGUUCAGCUGGGGAUGUUGCUCUGAGAACAUGCAGAUGAAUGUCUUAUUUGUUUUGGGCUUCUUAGACUUCAAUCCAUUCCAGGAACCCUUUUAGGGUUUACUAUGCAGCCAAGUGUAAAAUGCAUCUGAUUUUUAGGAAAUUUGCUAAAAGAAGCUAUACAACUCAUGCCAAAAACCUCUCCACAGCAGCUAAAAGUUCCAUUAAAGUAUGUCAUUAAACACAUGUUCCAAAAA